rnacentral:rRNA from 1 species
CCUGAGAAACCCAAAAGAUCGAAUGGGGAGAUUCAUCGUCAGCGAUCCUGGCGCGUGCGCGGUUCUCGAUGCCGCGGGACCUCGGUCUUCGCGGCACGCGUCCGCGCAUCGUUUUUAUUGCCGGGUGUCGUCGGCGUGCACUUCUCCCCUAGUAGGACGUCGCGACCCGUUGGGUGUCGGUCUACGGCCCGGGUGGGCGCCUGUCGUGUUUAACGCCUCGCGGCGCGUAAUGCGGCAGACCCCCGGUCGCCCGACCAGCUGCCCGGCGGUACUCGCACGGUAUCGAGCCGCAAAUAUUCGAACUGCGUCCGGCCCGCCGCAAGCGAGGCCAGUGUUUCCCGGAUGUUACGGACCUAGUGCCGUCACCGGGCCUGGCCAGCUGUUGGCUGGCGGUGUUCUAGGACCGGCUCUCUUAAUUGAAUUAUGAUACCGGUCGGCGACGCUACUGCUUUGGGUACUUUCAGGACCCGUCUUGAAACACGGACCAAGGAGUCUAACAUGUGCGCGAGUCAUUGGGAACUCCGUUAAGCCUAAAGGCGCAAUGAAAGUGAAGGUCGGCCUUGCGCCGACCGAGGGAGGAUGGGCCGCGUCACGAUGCGGUCCCGCACUCCCGGGGCGUCUCGUUCUCAUUGCGAGAAGAGCGCACCCAGAGCGUACACGUUGGGACCCGAAAGAUGGU